AUUGAACGCUGGCGGCAGGCCUAACACAUGCAAGUCGAGCGAGCGGCGGACGGGUGAGUAAUGCCUGGGAAUUGCCCAGUCGAGGGGGAUAACAGUUGGAAACGACUGCUAAUACCGCAUACGAUUGGAUUGCCCAGGUGGGAUUAGCUAGUUGGUGAGGUAAUGGCUCACCAAGGCCACGAUCCCUAGCUGGUCUGAGAGGGUGAUCAGCCAAACUGGAAAUGAGGCACGGUCCAACCUACUACGGGAAGCGGCAGUGGGGAAUAUUGGACAAGGGGGGAAACCCUGAUGCAGCGAUGCCGCGUGGGUGAAGAAGGCCUUCGGGUUGUAAAGCUCUUUCGGCGAGGAGGCGUUACUCACAGAAGAAGCACCGGCUAACUCCGUGCCAGCAGCCGCGGUAAUAC
rnacentral:rRNA from 1 species